AGCCCCCAUUCCCUGUUCCUCUGCACUGCUCAGGACGUUGUAGGCAAAUGUCUUUGUGCUGCAAUUGUCCGAUUGUCUUUGCAUGAGGACAGUGUUACAGCAACUGAUGGCUGUCAUCCCUCUGGAUGGGAUUCAAUUUGGAGUUCACUUUACAAUUUUAGCUGCCAAAGAGAAUAAGUCUGACUGAUGUGAGGCUGCUAUCUGCUCAACAUGUUCCCAGAUCAUAGAGGAUAUGCUGGAGAUCAGGGCCAUCCAACUCACAGAGACCUCCACUGGUGUGGUUUGAACAUACUUUUCCUGCCGUGAGAAGGGAGACUGUGCUGCAUUAUGAAAACAUCAACAUCAAAAAGAAGGCAAGAAAAAAUAUGACCUCCUCAUCCCAUGGUAUCAUGAAGUAAUAGAAUUACAGGAAGAAAAGAAGGGUUUUCAAGGACCUGGAUAAUAUGAAAUGAAAAGUCAGUUUUGGA